rnacentral:rRNA from 1 species
GACUGUACAAAGGUAGCAUAAUCAUUUGUCAUUUAAUUGGUGACUUGGAUGAAAGGUCGGAUGAGAAUUAUACUUUCUUUAUCUUAAAUUUAGAACUUAACUUUCAUGUUAAAAGGCUUGGAUGUUUUUAUGGGACGAGAAGACCCUAUAGAACUUUAUAUUAAUUUGGAUAUUUUAAUUAUUGAAAAUUUUAUUUUUGUAUUCUUAUUUUUAUUUUAUUGGGGCGAUAGAAAAAAAAUUAUAACUUUUUUUGUUUUUUACAUUUAUUUAUGAUUUGAUCUUUUAAUAUUGAUUUUAAGAUUAAGUUACCUUAGGGAUAACAGCGUUAUUGUUUUGGAGAGUUCAUAUCGAUAAUACAGUUUGCGACCUCGAUGUUGGAUUAAAAUUAUUAUUAGGGGUAGGUUUUUAUUUAUAUAGGUCUGUUCGACCUUUAAAUUUUUACA